CCUACGGGAGGCAGCAGUGGGGAAUAUUGCGCAAUGGGCGAAAGCCUGACGCAGCGACGCCGCGUGAGGGAUGAAGGUCUUCGGAUCGUAAACCCCUGUCAGCAGGGAAGAACGGUCACUGUGUUAAUCACCAGUGAAUUGACGUUACCUGCAAAGGAAGCAUCGGCUAACUCCGUGCCAGCAGCCGCGGUAAUACGGAGGGUGCGAGCGUUAAUCGGAAUUACUGGGCGUAAAGCGCUCGUAGGCGGUAUGUCAAGUCAAGGGUGAAAUCCCCGGGCUCAACGUGGGGACUGCCUUUGAAACUGGCAAGCUGGAGUGUGAGAGAGGAUAGUGGAAUUCCAGGUGUAGGAGUGAAAUCCGUAGAUAUCGGGAGGAACAUCAGUGGCGAAGGCGACUAACUGGCACAUAACUGACGCUGAGGAGCGAAAGCGUGGGUAGCAAACAGGAUUAGAUACCCUGGUAGUC
rnacentral:rRNA from 1 species